AUGACAAAGAGAAGUAUUGGUUCAGAUGAAGACCUGCGUCUGCAUAGAACAAUGGUGAAACGAAAGAAACAAGGGCUUCAACUGACCAACCUGCCAACGGAUAUUCUCUGCAGUAUCCUGUCACAAUUGCCGAUAAAAGAAGCUGUACGGACGAGCAUACUGUCAGAACAGUGGAAAUGUCUUUGGCAUCACCACCCAAAUCUAGUAUUUACUCUUAGCUCGAUGUUGCCAAUUCCUCGUACCUUACCGUUAACACCCAAUGAUGAUGAGCCAAGGAAACAUGAGUUUAUUCAGAGAGUCGAUGCAGUCCUACAGCAGCACAGUGGUGUGGGGGUUGAGAACGUUCAGUUUCGGGCUCCAUUUGAAGAUGACCAAAGGGAUCAGAUAAAUAGAUUGGUGAACUUUGCUAUUGCAUCCAAGGCGAAACAGCUUAUAUUUGAUUUCUUAACUGCCAGCCCUAUGAGGCCACCAUAUAACUUCGAUUUGCGGCUUCUCGAUGACAGUAAUAGUUUACACUUGCGAUAUGUAAAACUCUGUUCCGUUUCUCUCAAGGUGCCUGCGGAUUUCAACGGUUUUCAGAACCUUAAAUGGAUUUGCUUGGCAGGCACGAAUAUUACCGAUGAUGACCUUCAACUUUUAGUGUCCAGCUGCUGUGUUUUGGAGUUACUUGGAAUUGCUAGCUGUAGAAUGCUUACAAGGGUACAGCUAUCUCAUCCUUCAAAUCCACUGAAGCAUUUGCACGUACAUGACUGUCGCUUGCUUCAGGCGAUGGAGUUAAACUUUGGUCUGGUAGAACUUGAGUACAGUGGCCCAUCGAUACUGUUGUCAGCUCCUGGAACUUUGCUUCUCAAAAAUAUGUGCAUCGAGUUGAAUGAUAUGUGUCCUUCUCUGGAAUACAUCUCUACGAAACUUGAUAAUAACGUGCCUCGUCUUGAGAUGCUGACUCUUCAUUGCACCGAGUCAGAAGAGGACUUCGUUGCCAGGAAAGCUGCACAAAUUUUCUUAUCUAAAGCACCUGAGACUGGAGCUGACUUUUUUGGGUGCUCCGAGAAGCAAGAGUGA
rnacentral:rRNA from 1 species